rnacentral:lncRNA from 1 species
AGGCGCCUGAGAGCCCGUGAGCGGCAGGGUCAGGGCCCCUGCGGGCGGGGUCGCACGAGGCCUCACCCCAAGGGAGGCGGGGUCCAGCUGGAGCCCCUGUGCUGGGAGAGUCCGAGGGGCUCGGGCUGCUGAGGACCCACCUCUCCCUCCAGCCCUCCCUUCGCUGGGCCUCCGCGUGGCCUUUCUUCUGCCGCCCGUCAGCAGCAGCCAGCCGCUCCCGCCCCCGGAGCCCUCCUCCCUUUCUGGGCGCCCACCCUCUCUGCCAUUGCUCCGCGUUGCGUUCUCCUCGCCAGGGGCCAUCGCCGCGGCUGGCCUGCCUGAGGACGGCCCUCCAGUCCCCGGCAGCAGCACCAUGCUGAACAGGCCUUCCUCACCUGACCUCCCACAGCACCUCCAGGCCCAGGACGCCGGCAGGGAGACGGCAGGCAGGUGACCGUGAUGAUGGUGAGUCAAGCCCAAAGCAUUGAUGGGAAAUUCAGAUGAAUGGAUUGGCCACCUGAUAAGACAAGAAAAGCUCUAAGAAUGCAGCGCCGGGGAUGUAGCUCAGUGGUUCCGCCACCUGCCUCACAAGUGCAAGGACCUGAGUUCGAUCUCCAGUACCAAAAAAAAAAAAAAAAAAAAAAAGAAUACAUCCUAUUCUAGCCAGGGUUGGUGGCACACACCUGUAAUCCCAGCACUCAGGAGGCUGAGGCAGGAAGAUCACUGAAAGUUUCAGGCCAGCCUGUGCUACAUAGUGAGUUCAAGGCCAGCCUGAAUUACAUAGGAAGACCCUGUCUCAAAAAGAAAACAAAAAAAUAAUAGAUAAAUUAAAAAAAUUUAAAAUACAGAUGCAUCCUAUUGUGCAUUAGUAUUCCUCUCAGCUGAUGGAAUUAUAGGAGUUUCUCUGAUUUCGAUUUGUUUGUUGCUGUGGCGUUGGGUUUGAACCCAGGUCCUUUCACACACUAAGCAAGCACUUUAACAUUGAGUACUACCCCCAACCCUAGGAGCUUCCAGUGAAUUAAAGCCACAUGUGCCUGAAGAAGCCAGUGAAGUCACUGAAUGAAUGAUUCCAAAAUAAUUAUGUGCACACUAGGAUGAGAAGACAUUAAAGCAGCGGUGUUGCAAUUCCAUCUCCAGCGCUGUUUCCACCAAGUCUGGGGCCUGUCUAUGAGAGUGUGCAGAAUGGAUUUCCAUGUCUCCGGAGAACACCAAAGCAUGGCACAGAAGACGAAGCUGUUCACGGGGAAUGCUCAGGACAAGAAACAUCUUGGGAGCUGAAAACAUCCUGGGAGGCACAAACAUCUACUCAGUUCCU